UCCGGUUUAUCACCGGCAGUUCCCCAUGAGUCCCCGGCAUUACCCGCUGGCAACAUAGGGCAAGGGUUGCGCUCGUUGCGGGACUUAACCCAACAUCUCACGACACGAGCUGACGACAGCCAUGCAGCACCUUGCUACCUGCCCGAAGGAAACCCCCUUUCAGGGGCUGUCAGGUAGCAUUCGAGCCUGGGUAAGGUUCUUCGCGUUGCAUCGAAUUAAGCCACAUGCUCCACCGCUUGUGCGGGCCCCCGUCAAUUCCUUUAUGUUUUAGUCUUGCGACCGUACUCCACAGGCGGGAUGCUUAACGCGUUAGCUUCGCCACAUCCGGGGUCGAUACCGAAUACGGCUAGCAUCCAUAGUUAGUUGUAUUUUUCUAGCUAGACUGCCCUGGCAACAGGGA
rnacentral:misc_RNA from 1 species